rnacentral:rRNA from 1 species
AUUGAACGCUGGCGGUAGGCCUAACACAUGCAAGUCGAACGAGUGGCGGACGGGUGAGUAAUGUCUGGGAAACUGCCUGAUGGUGGGGGAUAACUACUGGAAACGGUAGCUAAUACCGCAUACUAUCAGAUGUGCCCAUAUGGGAUUAGCUAGUUGGUGGGGUAACGGCGCACCAAGGCGACGAUCCCUAGCUGGUUUGAGAGGAUGAAGAGCCAGACUGGACAUGAGACACGGUCCCGACGCCUACGGGAGGCAGGAGUGGGGAAUAUUGCACAAUGGGCGCAAGCCGGAGGCAGCCAUGGCGCGUGUAUGAAGAAGGCCUUCGGGUUGUAAAGGUCUUUCAGCGGGGAGGCGUUACCCGCAGAAGAAGCACCGGCUAACUCCGUGCCAGCCGCCGCGGUAAUAC